rnacentral:rRNA from 1 species
GAUGAACGCUGGCGGCGUGCCUAAUACAUGCAAGUCGAGCGAAUGGAUUAAGAGCUUGCUCUUAUGAAGUUAGCGGCGGACGGGUGAGUAACACGUGGGUAACCUGCCCAUAAGACUGGGAUAACUCCGGGAAACCGGGGCUAAUACCGGAUAACAUUUUGAACCGCAUGGUUCGAAAUUGAAAGGCGGCUUCGGCUGUCACUUAUGGAUGGACCCGCGUCGCAUUAGCUAGUUGGUGAGGUAACGGCUCACCAAGGCAACGAUGCGUAGCCGACCUCAGAGGGUGAUCGGCAACACUAGGACUGCGACCCGGCCCAGACUCCUACGGGAGGCAGCAGUAGGGAAUCUUCCGCAAUGGACGAAAGUCUGACGGAGCAACGCCGCGUGAGUGAUGAAGGCUUUCGGGUCGUAAAACUCUGUUGUUAGGGAAGAACAAGUGCUAGUUGAAUAAGCUGGCACCUUGACGGUACCUAACCAGAAAGCCACGGCUAACUACGUGCCAGCCGCCGCAGUAA